ACUGCAUCUGACUGGUUGCUGGCAAUUCUACCUUCCUGGUGGCAGCUGGGCUGCUUGUUUUUCCCUCCAAGAGAUGUGGAAGAGAGCAACAAAAAGCUGGCUUACUCCGACUAGAAGCCCUUGGUUUGGCCGCUGGUAAACUGGAAAUCAAGCUAAACACAUGUGCUGAAUGACCAGGCAAUUCAGCCUCACUCUUGUUCUCUUCUAGAAUUAGAACAGCGAGUUCUUUGGUUCACUCUGAUAGGAAGAGCCCAAAGCACCAGCCAUGUCAAGAAUCCCAAGAUGGCAGAGUUUCUGGACCUAUGGCACAGGCCCUGCUCCCUGGAAUUUUCUUUUCGCAGUCUCCCCAGACACAGCCCAUACCCACACCAGCCACUCUGAAGAGGUUUCCUCAGCCAGCAGGCCCUCUCCCUGUUACCAUGGCAGCAGCCAUUCUGGAGAACAAGAAGCCAAUACAAGGAGAAGACAAAGCCCAGACUGUGUGAUUCCUGUCUGCCCACUGCGGUCAUAGAGUCUCUGACAGAGCUACCCACUUCUGCCACUGAACAUAACAAGCCACAUGUGAACGAGGGUACCAAUCAGACUUUAUGGACACUGAAAUGUGAUGGUCAUGUAAUUUUUAUAUGCCAAGAAAUACUAUUCCUUUGAUUUGUUUUCCAGUCAUUUACAAAUAUAAACACCAGCCUUAGCAUUCAGGCUAUAGCAAAACAGGCAGCUGGCCAAACCUGGCCCUCCGGCCAGAGCUUGAUGACUCUGAUAUAUAGAGAGACAUUAUCAGAGUUAAUGAAUUAGUCAUUAUAAAAGGUUCUUCUCUUUUUUUGGAAUGAAUAUUUUUACAGAUGAAAAAGCAGGAGUAAGUAUAUACACACGUAUUAAA
ensembl:lncRNA